rnacentral:rRNA from 1 species
GCCAUUCAGCGUGAGUGAAGAAGGCAUUGCGGGUUGUAAGCUCUUUGCAGGGAAGAGGACUUAUGCCUCUACAUAGGAUGAGGUUGACGGUACCUUGAUAAUGAAGGCACCGGCUUAAUUACGUGCCAGCAGCCGCGGUAAUACGUAGGGUGCGAGCGUUAUCGGAAUUACUGGGCGUUAAGCGUGCGCAGGCGGUUUUAGUAAGUCAGAUGUGAAAUCCCUGAGCUCAACUUGGGAACUGCGUAUUGAAACUAGCUAGACCUAGCAUAUGUCAGAGGGGGGUAG